rnacentral:lncRNA from 1 species
AUAUAUAAUGCACCCAUUCUAUAUAUAUAUACACACACACACAUAUAUAAAAGCUGAGUGUCUUUUUUCUCACUGCCCUGGACCUGGAAUCCUUGGCCCAGUGCUGGAACUCAUUGUGGGAUCAUCCACCUUGCAUCUCCUCCAGGGAGCGGAGGUCUGUUCAGUCCUAACAGCCAUGUGCCCUUUAAUUCCUAAACCACAAAGAGGACAAUUUGUGCUUAUUUAUUGAAGCCCUAGCCUGUGUAAGGCCCUGUGCCAGACUCUCUAGAGGGACUUUCUCAUUCAAUCCUCUUACCUCCUCUUACUUCUACACCUCACCCGUUUAAUUUUUCUUCACCAUGCUCCCCACCAGCUGGCCUUACGUUGUACAUAUAGAUUUGUUCAUUAUUGUCUUUCCUCGCCAGAAUGUAAGCUUUGUGGGGGCAGGAAUUUUGUCUGUGUCAUUUACUAUCAUCUCCCCAGCGCCUGGCACUGAUCAGAUGAAGGAAUCUUGCCAGGUAGGCCUUAGCACCCCCAUUUGACAGAUGGGGGGAUGCAGGCUCAGCGAUUUGCCAACAUCCUGUGAUUAGUAAGUAGCAGAGACUGAAUUUAAACUCAGGGGCUCCUGGGGGCACAGCCCACGCUGCAGGGAGCUUUCCCUCAUCAGCUUCCUCUACAUUGCUGGGAUGAGUUUGAAGUCUGAAAAUUAAAGGCAUAAAGGCGAUGACUCAUCUCUUAGACAAAGAAGAGGAAAAUCAGGGCCCAGAGCUGAGUCAUCAUUUCCACUUCCCACUAUGCUGACUCAUUCAGACCUCCGGCUCUUGCUCUCCCAGAGCUUGUUGCUGGGAGAGCGGCCAGGCGCUCAACAUAGUCCCUGGCUCCCUUCUUAUUUGACCUUCCAGACUGCCCUAUUGGCUGGGACAGUCUGACCCAGACACAAGCUUGGAUGUGGGUCCAGGCCAGCACUCCCCAGAGAGCCCUGCAGAUCUGGAGGCAAGACUCCAAGACUGUUGCAAGAUCACAGCACUGGCAGCAGAGAGGCUCCUGCCUUGCAGGGGCUUCCUGCUAGGAGGUUUUCUUGGAUGGAUGGGCACCUGCAGUAACUGUGUGCACACCUGACUUAUUUAAAUUUUGAAAGAACUGUGGGCAUAUAUGACUGAUUAAAUUUUGAAAGAACACAAGCCUUGACAUCAGAAAGAAGUGACUUUGAAGCCCAGCUCUGCCCCUUAUUAGCUGUGUGACCGUAGGCACACUACUAUACAACUCUGUGCCUCAGUGUCCUCAUCUGAAAAAUGAGGUCAUAAUAUUGUCUACUUGCUAGGGUUGGCAAGAGAAAGGCGUGAGACAUUUUGAGUGAGAGCUCUUUGCACAGCCUAAAGAAGGAAGAAACACACUUUAAAGUCAUAAAGGCAACUGAGGACUGAACCCCAUGGUAGAGAUGGGAUGGAGUGGAGUUGGGGGAAAACAAGGUUCUGUGUGCCAGGCCAGGCUGACCAGGGGGUCUAAGGCUGAAGGUGGACAAAUGGCUUAACCUCCAGCAGCUUACCUUUCUCCAGCUGCACAAUGAUCAUGCUAGACUCUGCCCUGUCUCACACAGAAUGAGAAUAUUCCACAGAAGGAAAAAUGUUAACUGACAUCAUGGUUGGGGAUUUGGAAGUGGAGAGUAUUAAAAAUAUCACCCAAGUAAUACAUGAAUCUAUGUUUAUUGUGAAAGAUUUUAGCAAUCUGGAUUUUAGCAAAAUGUGGAGUCCCUUUUCACGAGCUUCCACUAUCUACAGUUUGGAGCACAUCCUUACAAUCUCUCUCUCUCUCUUUCUGUCUCUCCAUUUAUGUAUAUAUGUGCACAGGGCUAAUAGCUAACACUAGUUGGGCAUUUUGAUACAUAUCAGGCCCUGCUCUAAACACUUUACAUGGAUUCAUUUAUUUAGUCUUCACAAAACCCCAUGAGGCAAACUCUAUUAUUAGCUCUACUUUACAGAGGAGAAAACUCAGGCCCAGAGAGGUAAAGUAACUUCCCCAAAGUCACACAGCUUCAGAGAAAAAGAGCUGGGAUUGAAACCCAGGCAGCCUGGUUCCAGAGUCUGUUCACAACCAUUGCAUUCUAUUGUCUCUCGAAUAUUCU